GACUCCGUAGCUCAGUUGGUAGAGCUAUUGACUCUUAAUCAAUAGGUCCAGGGUUCGAGUCCCUGCGGGGUCA
rnacentral:tRNA from 1 species